AUACCACAGGAAUAUUGGUUCACAGCGCCAUAGUAACAGAAUUCAUUUAUAUCUUAAUUAGAACUGAAUAAAAGUCCACUGAUAAAAGAAACAGAAAUGGAAUUGAAUGACAUCUCUAUCAUUUUUUUUACUACAAAACUGAUUUAUGAAUUCUACAUGAAAUUGGACAGCGAAGUAAGUAAACUGGGAGGAAUUUUCAAAAACAGAGUCACCUUACAUAGAAAAGAUAAUCUACUUUGUAUCAACAAAAUCUUAGCUUGGUUGUUCAAAGCCUAAUUUCUGUCCACAAAUCACCUCACAGAAUCACAGAAACUUUUAAAUGAUGAUAAUUAUUUUAGAAAUUUUAUUUUUGUUUCAAUCAGGUAAUAAUUGGCUAUAGGAAAAGUUAUUUAAAAACAGUUUAAAUGUAUGAACUAUUGAUUAAAUAAGGAAAUAUAACAAAUAUUUCCCCUGUAGUCAAAAAUAAAAAUAAAUAUUAUUAAAGAACUGCCUUGCAUACUGUUGUGUGCAUAUUAUACCGUACACUAACUGCAAUAAGCAUGGGGAGAAUUCAGGACUCAUAAAAAAACACAAAAUUUACAGAAUUUUUUCCAUUUCUAUUUUUACUCUAAAAUGAAAUGGAUAUUGAUGUAACCUUGAAGUCUUGAACUUUCCCCACACAAAUAUUUAAAGUGCAUGAUUCUAGCUGCUGUUUUUCCUCAUUACCAAUAAAUCAAAUCCAAACUAAUCUGAAAAGGUUGCACAAGCACAGCACACUACAGUUUUAACAAACUACAACACCCUCAAGGGUAUACUAGAAUGCUUUACAGCUGUUCAACCCUUGACCCCAGACUUUGACCUUGAACUUGGGAUGAGGAUCCUGAAAAUGAUACAUGUACCACAUCUAAAUCCAGAAUGUCUAUAAAUUUAAGUUUCAUUAAAUGACGUUAAUUGUUAAAAGUUAAUGUGAUGAAGAAAAUAGUAAACAAAUCACUUCAUAAAAUGGCAUAUUAAACUGCAACACAGCCAUCUUUAAUUAAGAUUUUCUCAAAGGUUUUACACUUAUAGAAGUUAGACAUUUAAUUCCAAUAGUGUUGGUCAAUUUCAAAAACAUCUUUACAUGCAAAUAUUGAUGCAAGUCUGGGAUGGGGAAAGAUUUAAAAAUCCUCCACACAAUGCAGUCCAACCUGUACUAAGAGACAAUCCUUUUUAAGUCCAUAAAGAGAUCUGUCAAUACAGGUUCACUUCACAAUGUAACGUCACGCUACCACAAUUGGUCCACUACCCAAAUUGGUACACGGUCAGAAAAUGGUUCGAAUAGUACUUAAACAUUGUAUUUGAGCAUUUUCACACGACAGUAUAUAACAUAAGCGAUAUUUAUCAGCAUUUCCACAGAAUAGUUUGGUUUUUAGGAAUAUUUUAAGAGUACACGAUUGUUUCAAAUAAAAUGUAUCAGAAAACCAGUCGAUUUCUGUUUUUUAUAACUGGAUAAUAUGAAAGGGGGGUAUAUAUGCAGUAUGGUAUUUAUAAAAGCAACUUAUUUUGUUGCAAUCGGCACAUCAAUUAAUAGAAAUAAAAACAAAUUUCAUAGCCUAUGAUAUGGUGUAUCAAUUUGGGUACUUAUCAUGGCCGCAAAAAUGGGACGACAUGUCUCACGAGUUUAGCCUUUUAUUUUCAGAAACAAAUCAAUGAGAAUCAAAACUUUCCCUGAAAAUGAACUACAAUUGGUAGUCUUUGUCAAGGGUCAAGAAACAUUCAAGAUACAAAAUCUGAAUUUUUAAAUAUCGCUGAAAAACUCAAAAUUGUACCAAUUGUGGUAGCUUGACGUUAAUCACUACGAUGGGAUCAUUAAAAUUGGCUUCUUCACACAGGUGGUCACUUAAUGGAAGUGGUCACUUAAUGGAAGUGGUCUCUUAAUACAGGUUCAAUUCACCAUCAAAUCACAACCAGUGAGAUCAUCCAAAGUGGCCUCUAAACACAAGUGGUCACUUAAUGGAGGUGGUCUCUUAAUACAGGUUCAAUUCACCAUCAAAUCACAACCAGUGAGAUCAUCCAAAGUGGCCUCUAAACACAAGUGGUCACUUAAUGGAGGGGGUCUCUUAAUACAGGUUCAAUUCACCAUCAAAUCACAACCAGUGAGAGCAUCCAAAGUGGCCUCUAAACACAGGUGGUCACUUAAUGGAGGUGGUCACUUAAUACAUGUUCAAUUCAUCAUCAAAUCACAACCAAAGGGAACAUCCAAAGUGGCCUCUAAACACAGGUGGUGACUUAAUACAUGUUCAAUUCACCAUCAAAUCACAACCAGUGAGAUUCAUCCAAAGUGGCCUCUAAACACAGGUGGUCACCUAAUGGAGGUGGUCACUUAAUACAUGUUCAAUUCCCCAUCAAAUCACAACCAAAGGGAACAUCCAAAGUGGCCCCUAAACACAGGUGGUCACUUAAUAGAGGUGGUCACUUAAUGGAUGUGGUCACUCAAUACAUGUUCAAUUCACCAUCAAAUCACAACCAAAGGGAACAUCCAAAGUGGCCUCUAAACACAGGUGGUCACUUAAUGGAAGUGGUCUCUUAAUACAGGCUCAAUUCACCAUCAAAUCACAACCAGUGAGAGCAUCCAAAGUGGCCCCUUAACACAGGUGAUCACUUAAUGGAAGUGGUCUCUUAAUACAGGCUCAUUUUACCAUCAAAUCACAACCAGUGAGAGCAUCCAAAGUGGUCUCUAAACACAGGUGGUCACUUAAUGUAGGUGGUCACUUAAUACAGGUUCAAUUCACCAUCAAAUCACAACCAAAGGGAACAUCCAAAGUGGCCCCUAAAUACAGGUGGUCACUUAAUGGAGGUGGUCACUUAAUGGAGGUAGUUGUAUGAGUAGGUUUGACAGUGUUAGAAUAAAUAGGUGGAGUGAUUUAUUAAGGUAUGGAUGGAGUCUUAUUUUUUUAAUCUGAAGGAAUCACAUAGAUGAAGACAUGAAACACUAUUAUAACUAGUCAAUGUUAUGUUCUUGAGAACAACCUCAUCAAGACAACUAAUCAGUAAUUCAGACACAAAUUAUGGACCGGCAAACUACUAGAAUUAGAAUGCAAUCACAGGUCCUUACUGCAUAGUCACAGAGGUUAGUUAGUGUAAGAAUGGCAGAUUUCAACAACCGAUGUAUCCUCCAAAAAAGUUCAUUUUAUUGAUGACACUUCCCAGAUACAUCAAGUGGACACCAUGCUGGAUCAGUUUACUAUCACCAGCCAAAGGUUAUACAAAUGAAGGAUAUAAAGCCCACUACAGACGAAACACUAAGGAACUCCACCGUUUGGGGUUUUCAGAGGUUACCUCCCCUAAUUCACUCUGGAUAUAACUAAAGCACAACAGGGUCAGAGUACUACCAAUGACAAGGUAGUUCAGAUGGUUUGAGCAAAGGAUUCAUCUCCUGGUCUGGCACUUUUAUACUCAAUGAUACCACAGAUAUGAUUUAUUACAGCUAUAAUCAUUAUAAAAAUAGUUUCUAAUGCAUAACAAGUGGAGUCAUUGCAUAAAUAAUGUUUAGUAUCUUAAACAAAUCGUAUCAUGCUGUUGAUUUUAUUUCACCACUUGAACAGCUAAAAUAUUUAUAUUUUCAGUAAAUUGAUAUUAUAAUCUAGUCAUGAGGAAUAUUAGUGAUAUAUAUGGAUACAAAAAUCUGUGUUGAUAUAGUUUGUGUUAUAUCAGUAUUACAAUAAUAUAUAUAACGGAAUAUUGGAGAGAGGCAGAGAACCCAGGAUAUAACCAUAGUAGAUUACUUUGUUAGAAUCCGUGCAGUUAAUACAACAUAUCACAACACCCUACACCGACAAAUCAUCGGGUUGUCAUGCUUGUGUCUCCGUAUCACUUCUCAGAAUAAUUCCUUUCUUUAACACAAUAUUAUAUCCCCUCCUGCCUUUAUCAUUAAACUGCUAUGAUAAAUUCAUCUACAGACCAUUUUUUCUUUAACUACUCAGAGUUUAACAGCAGCUGGUUUGUUUUGCAAAUUUUAUCUGCACUUGUAGAAAUAUCUAACAUCUUAACGCAAUCAUCCACAUCUUAGUACUCUGACUACACAGAAAACCAGUAGCUACGUCAGACAGACAUGCUAAUAUCUUUCAAAUAUGCUAUUUUAGUCAUGAUUACUAUUAUAUUUAUCGAGAUACUUUUAAAUAAAAAAACACUUCAUCUUUAUGUAUUAUUAAAUGGUAGCUAUGUAACACUUUAACCUGGUCUGCAGCUGUAGUUUUAUUUAACAUGAACAGUUUCUAGUGCAAAACCAAAUUUCUUCAAACUCCAUGAAAUAAGCUGUCAUAUACUGCAUAAAAAACUGUUAUUUUUUCCAAUCAGCUCAACUAUCAUCUGCAAGUAUAUUUACUUAAUACUAUUUCACGAAUUACUGGGAAAAUUAAAUCCUAUUUCACCAAUCACCAGGACUGUUAAAUCCUAUUUCACUAAUCACCAGGACUGUUAAAUCCUAUUUCGCCAAUCACCAGGACUGUUAAAACCUAUUUCGCCAAACCCCAGGUACAUUGUAUAUUAAGAUACUAUUCCACCAUGAUACAUUUCACCAACCACCAGGAAUAUUAAGAUACUAUUUCACCACCCAGCAGAAGACACCACACGGUCACAUUAUACUGACAACAGGCGAACCAGAUGGAGCGCUUUAAAGUUUCCACAU